UACGUAGGGGGCGAGCGUUGUCCGGAUUUACUGGGCGUAAAGCGCGUGUAGGCGGCUUCUUAAGUCGGGUGUGAAAGCCCGGGGCUCAACCCCGGGAUGCCGCCCGAGACUGGGAGGCUUGAGGUCGGAAGAGGGGAGUGGAAUUCCAGGUGUAGCGGUGAAAUGCGUAGAGAUCUGGAGGAACACCCGUGGCGAAGGCGGCUCCCUGGUCCGGUUCUGACACUGAGACGCGAAAGCGCGGGGAGCGAACGGG
rnacentral:rRNA from 1 species